GUCAAGGAGACCCCUGUUAAGCUUCUGGGCUCCUUCAACACCACAGAGCCUCGACCUUUGUCCCAACCGCCGCCAAGGAGCUGCCGCCUAUCUUCCAUCACCGCCAAGGCGCGGAGCUGCUCGGACUUGGCCGCGGGUGAGCCGGGGGGAGCCGACCGGUGAGGGCUCAACUUAGUUGAGGGAAGUCUGGGCGUCUGAGGAGCGGUCGCGCGCAUCGGCCUCUCUGCCUGGGUUGCCCGCGGCCACGCGCGAGGGGGGUCAGGCGAGAGCAUCCGUGGCCAGGAGUGGGAGGUGCGGCCACUUAUCCCAGCCUCCAGGGAUCCGUGUUCUCCUGCCGCGAGCUUCAGUGGGUCCUGCUGCAACUUUCCUCUGAUGGACAGGUGCUCAGCGGAGGCAUCGCAGGAAAGAGCUCCCUGGUACAGUGGAUCAGCCAGGAACAACAGUGCAGAUAAAAAGCCUCCAAGUUCUGGUGGAAUCUGAUGCUCUCUUCUGGCCUCUUGUGGAAUUGAAUGCAUGUGAUAUACAGCCCUUCAGCAGGAGUACUGAGUCAACAGACCCAUGGAUCUGAUUGGGGCGAGAUCACCUGGAAGGGAGUUGGCAUUUGCCUCACUGGUUCACUCUUUGAUGUCCCCUGGAAAAGAAUUCUUGAGAUGUCAGCUCGUUGAACAUUGAUUCUUCAGAUUUGUGCUUGAUGAUGACUCUGACUUGGCAUGAAAUGGGGAGUCCAGAGACCUCCCUUUGCCGCCAGUCCGGCUUCACAGUGCACACCUGUUAAUGCGAACCCAGCCUUCCCUAAGUGUAACCCUCACUUUCCAAAUUAAACAGUUUUUCUGCA